UCCCUACGGGACGCAGCAGUGAGGAAUAUUGGUCAAUGGGCGGGAGCCUGAACCAGCCAAGUCGCGUGAGGGAAGACGGUCCUAUGGAUUGUAAACCUCUUUAGGCGGGGAGCAAUGCCGGGCACGUGUGCCCGGAGGGAGAGUACCCGCAGAAUAAGCAUCGGCUAACUCCGUGCCAGCAGCCGCGGUAAUACGGAGGAUGCGAGCGUUAUCCGGAAUGAUUGGGCGUAAAGGGUGCGUAGGCGGCCUGCUAAGUCUGGAGUGAAAGGUACCGGCUCAACCGGUACAGGCCCUGGAAACUGGCG
rnacentral:rRNA from 1 species